rnacentral:rRNA from 1 species
GACGAACGCUGGCGGCGUGCUUAACACAUGCAAGUCGAACGGAAAGGCCCUGCUUUUGUGGGGUGCUCGAGUGGCGAACGGGUGAGUAACACGUGAGUAACCUGCCCUUGACUUUGGGAUAACUUCAGGAAACUGGGGCUAAUACCGGAUAGGAGCUCCUGCUGCAUGGUGGGGGUUGGAAAGUUUCGGCGGUUGGGGAUGGACUCGCGGCUUAUCAGCUUGUUGGUGGGGUAGUGGCUUACCAAGGCGUUGACGGGUAGCCGGCCUGAGAGGGUGACCGGCCACAUUGGGCCUGAGAUACGGCCCAGACUCCUACGGGAGGCAGCAGUGGGGAACAUUGCACAAUGGGCGGAAGCCUGAUGCAGCAACGCCGCGUGCGGGAUGACGGCCUUCGGGUUGUAAACCGCUUUCGCCUGUGACGAAGCGUGAGUGACGGUAAUGGGUAAAGAAGCACCGGCUAACUACGUG